AAUGAGUUAGGGUCUCCGAGGCCCGACCUCCAACCCUUUGUAUAAUUAUUACGUUGCUUUGACGGGCCCGUCUUCAACUGGACCGCCGGGGUUUAACCUCUGGCCAGCGCCUGUCAAUAGCCUUCAAUAAAUUCUUUUAACCAUGUUAAAUCUGAAAAUAGUUAAAUAAACUAAAACUUUCAACAACGGAUCUCUUGGUUCUGGCAUCGAUGAAGAACGCAGCGAAAUGCGAUAAGUAAUGCGAAUUGCAGAAUUCAGUGAGUCAUCGAAUCUUUGAACGCACAUUGCGCCCUUUAGUAUUCUGAAGGGCAUGCCUGUUCGAGCGUCAUUAUCACUAUUCAAGCCUGGCUUGCUGUUGGACCUCUUGUCGUUAAAAGACAGGCCCCAAAGAUAAUGACGGCGUCAGUUGGACCCUAGAUGCAACGAGCUCUAACCAGCACGUAUCUUAGUUGGCCCCUUUGACCCGGUCUUUUUUAACCACUUUAUAAAAGGUUGACCUCGGAUCAGGUAGGAAUACCCGCUGAACUUAA
rnacentral:rRNA from 1 species